CGGUUCAGACAUAGUGCACCUAACGGCCGCCGUCCGACCCGCCCCCAUUAAUUUAGUUGUGCACGCCAGGCAAUCCAUACAGCCUCUCUCCCGAAGAUUCGUUCCCCUCUGCCUCCCUCUCAUCGUCUUCUUCACCCUCCUCGGCAAGGACCAGAUCGGGAAAGAUGACCACUUAUCUUCUUCUCCGGCCGACGGGUACUGCCGCUGAUCCAUUGGCGACAAGGUGGUCAACUUUAUCUCUCGAGCCGGGAUGCUGGGUCAUGCCAGUUUUUUGAGAUCCACGGACACGUUCACACGUACCUGCCGGAGUUGACUCGCCAUGGCAUGUCCCAGUCCCACGUGCUUCACCAUAGAUCCAGGCGCGAGCACAACUUCGUCCACAGUUGCCAGGCAAAGAUCCAACAAGCUCAGGGACGCCCCCCUGCGCUGCACCGCACUGCUGCUCGACGGACAGCCAACGCACGUCACAUCAAUCAUAGCCCAGGAGGAAGAUCUGUUAGGCGGAGAACACCUUCGAUCUUGGUGCACCAGCAGUCGCCGGCUUUUCAGCCUCAUUAUUUUCGCCGAUAUUAUGGCCUCGAGAUGUCGGAUAAAGGCAGCUGCGACGGGGAGACCGCUGAUGACAUCGUUCAUGAAGAUAGCCAAAAUUCAGCAGAGUGGUGACUCAGCUGUGCCACCAGCACCGACAUCUCGCAUGUCUGUCAAGCACACUAUUGAAGUCAUACAGACAUUCAAUGAGUUCAAGUGAUUACUUGUCAUGAGCUUUGGCUUUGGCGGCAUGCUCGAACUCCUAAUGUUGCAGAAACUGAACCUCAAAUUCAGUACUUGGACAAUGAGCAAGGUCAGCACCACCCGAUGCGCCAUUGUCCUGGCUGAGAACAAGAUACUUAAGUUCUGAGCAUAGGAUGUUCACAAAGUCUUUGGAAUCCCAUGUAGACAUCGCAACAUAAAGGGUUGGGAUGGCCACAUCAAGCCAGAAGAAAUUAAGUUCAUAAAGUCGAUGUGCUUGUCGGCAAUAGACUCAUUGGUCAUGAACUGAUGUGCUUGCUUUUCCGCCAUUUUGCUCAGCCUGAUUGUCAAGCAGAUACCGAAAACCCCUAUCUAAGGUGGAGGCACCCUAUCGAACCUGAUUUCUCAGUAAGCCCGUCACUCCAGUUUUUUGAAGCUCCCCAAUUACUCUGGUGUUGUCUGAUUCUGGUUUCUUCCACACGGUAACAAUACAGAAGUAGUUAUCUGCUGACUCGAUCAAGUAUGACAUAGCAUCGUCUCAAGCGUUCAUCACACCGGUGCCGCGCCCGGAAGGCUGGAUGAUUCUAGUGUGGGAUAUGCUACAAAAAGUAUUAAAUGUGACUGAUCCUCUUUAUGCCAAAAGUUCAACCAAUCACCCAUACAAGGAACGCGACGAAGCCUUGGCAUGGAAGCUGCACAAUGCAUUACUCUCGUGCCUUGGCAUGAAUUCUAUCCCGGAUGGCCAGCAACCAAGGAAAACUGGUGGAUCAAGCAUGAACCCACAACCGAUGACAUCUUCACGACGUAAGUGACACCAGGUCAGGACUACAUCCUUAUUGCUGAAAAGACUCACCCCUCGUUCCAUGUGGCACGCUUUCUGCAUUUUUGCAGCGAUAAGACAGGUUUCUGCACAAUGCAUUUCCAACCUGGAAAUUGACACCUCCAUACAAAUUUGUUCACAGCACAACAUAUCCAAAAUACAGAGGGACAGCCUGCAUGAGUGCUUGAAGCUGCAGGGUAAUUUUUCCCAGAUUUCUAAGAAGGCAUUGUGGAAAGUCUUAGCACCUUCAGACUCCUUCGACGACUAGGAAUCCUCCUUCAUCACUCACCGGAGGAAAUUUCAUGCAUCACAUCCUGAUAGUUAUUUGUAGCUUCCCCGUAGAGUUUUUUGGGUUGUAAGGCAGUACAAAUACCAUGAACUUGCCAAAGCUAUGUUGGUUUCAGAUUCUGCCAGAACCUUGUUUAAUUUCUUAUCUGCUUCCCAUUGCUUUGAUCAUCUAGACCCUGUAUACCAGUGCGACCCACUUGCCCCUUACUUCAUGUGACGCCCAUUUUUAUUUAGGCGUUCAGCUGCUAAUAUAACAAACUGCUCAGCGUAUCCCACACACAUAUUAAAAUGGCAUGCAAAAUGAAGGCAUUGCCAUGACAUAUCCAACCAAAUGGUAACCUUGCAGCUUGCACAAAGUCUCACAUGCCAAUAUUCAUGGAUGUUUGUCUAAAGGCAAACCCUUCCUGCCCCGGCAGGCUUGCAAAUAUGGUGCCAUAUCCUUAAGAGAUCAAGAAAAGUUAUCUACACGUGUAUUCAUCCAUAUACCAUAACCAACCACACCUCAUGAUACUAUCAGCUCCAAGUCAUCACAGCAAUACAUCACACACAUACACUUCAAACAUCACUGUCUUUUACAUGCAGAGAUCAACACAAGUUUGUCAAAACCAAAAUGAGACAUCUUGCCACACUCAUGCUACCUACCAAAACACACAGGGUUUUCCUACAAGUCCUGUCCUCUAAUCACUUAGAGGUCUGCACGCAAAAUAGUCAGCUGCAGUCUUCACCUUUUCUGCUUCCAUAGACAGCGGGAUAAGAAGUGCCCACACACCACUAUGAAGGAUGGGAGCUAAACAAGAUUCCCAGUGCGACGAAUCCCAUCUAAUUACUAGAACUAGUCUUAGCUAGAUUUUCUUCGCAAACUUGAACUCUUACACAUAAUAUAACUAACUACAUCAUGACAUGGCCUCUCCUUCCUUUUUCAGAAUAGCACUUCGUGCAUCAUGAAGAUUGGGAGCUCAUCCUUUUCCCCCUUCAUGGAGAUCACCUCGUAUGCAAGCUGCUUCUUUAGAUAUGCUAGCUCGUCCUGCAACACAGUUCAUUUGUAUCAGUCACUCCCAUGAAAUCAUCAACAGUUUUUCAGCAUUAUUACAUAUGUUUUCCUAAUAUGUACUCACCCCAGAGAGCUGAUGCUCAAGGUAUAGGCCAUUGUAUUCUCUGAA